UGAUCUAAAUUAGUCAACAAUAUUUUAACUUCAAAUUUUAAAAUAUUACUUAUAAUUAAAAAAAUUAUAUAAAAUAUACUAACUAAAUUUAGAAAGAUAGACGAUAUAUUCAACUUUUUUAAAGUUAAAGCACCGUUGACUAAUUUAAAUCAAACAAAUUUAAAAAUAAAUUAUAAAAUUAAAAUUUUGAUAUAAAUUUUUAUUUGUUCUUACCAAACAAAAAUAAGAAUUAGUUGGGACAACCACACUAAAGCCAAACUAUCAGUGGGCCCCAACUUCCCAGCAACAUACAAAGGAGAGUGUUGCAGCAAAAUGAAUCUUAUCCAGCGAAAAAGAGAGUGGCAAAGAAUUUAAUGAUUAGUAUCCUAUUUAGUUUCUAAAUUCAAAGCCUAAUUAUUUUAUAUUUUUUUAUUUUUUUUUAAAAAAAAUUUCU
rnacentral:lncRNA from 1 species